rnacentral:rRNA from 1 species
GCCUUCGGGUUGUAAACCGCUUUCGCCUGUGACGAAGCGUGAGUGACGGUAAUGGGUAAAGAAGCACCGGCUAACUACGUGCCAGCAGCCGCGGUGAUACGUAGGGUGCGAGCGUUGUCCGGAUUUAUUGGGCGUAAAGGGCUCGUAGGUGGUUGAUCGCGUCGGAAGUGUAAUCUUGGGGCUUAACCCUGAGCGUGCUUUCGAUACGGGUUGACUUGAGGAAGGUAGGGGAGAAUGGAAUUCCUGGUGGAGCGGUGGAAUGCGCAGAUAUCAGGAGGAACACCAGUGGCGAAGGCGGUUCUCUGGGCCUUUCCUGACGCUGAGGAGCGAAAGCGUGGGGAGCGAACAGGCUUAGAUACCCUGGUAGUCCACGCUGUAAACGGUGGGUACUAGGUGUGGGGUCCAUUCCACGGGUUCCGUGCCAUAGCUAACGCUUUAAGUACCCCGCCUGGGGAGUACGGCCGCAAGGCUAAAACUCAAAGGAAUUGACGGGGCCCCGCACAAGCGGCGGAGCAUGCGGAUUAAUUCGAUGCAACGCGUAGAACCUUACCUGGGUUUGACAUGGAUCGGGAGCGCUCAGAGAUGGGUGUGCCUCUUUUGGGGUCGGUUCACAGGUGGUGCAUGGCUGUCGUCAGCUCGUGUCGUGAGAUGUUGGGUUAAGUCCCGCAACGAGCGCAACCCUUGUUCACUGUUGCCAGCACGUUAUGGUGGGGACUCAGUGGAGACCGCCGGGGUCAACUCGGAGGAAGGUGGGGAUGACGUCAAGUCAUCAUGCCCCUUAUGUCCAGGGCUUCACGCAUGCUACAAUGGCUGGUACAGAGAGUGGCGAGCCUGUGAGGGUGAGCGAAUCUCGGAAAGCCGGUCUCAGUUCGGAUUGGGGUCUGCAACUCGACCUCAUGAAGUCGGAGUCGCUAGUAAUCGCAGAUCAGCAACGCUGCGGUGAAUACGUUCCCGGG